GGCUGGUCCGAUGGUAGUGAGUUAUCAGACUUAUUAACAUUAAUUUCACUAAAAUUGGUAUACAACCCCCCACUGCUAAAUUUGACUGGCUUUUU
rnacentral:Y_RNA from 1 species